rnacentral:rRNA from 1 species
CACGUAGGGGACGAGCGUUGUCCGGAUUCAUUGGGCGUAAAGGGUGCGUAGGCGGCGCGGUAAGUCGGGUGUGAAAUCUCGGAGCUUAACUCCGAAACUGCAUUCGAUACUGCCGUGCUUGAGGACUGGAGAGGAGACUGGAAUUUACGGUGUAGCGGUGAAAUGCGUAGAUAUCUGGAGGAACACCGGUGGCGAAGGCGGCAUCCUGGACCAAUACUGACACUGAGGAGCGAAAGCCAGGGGAGCAAACGGG